AUUAUAUUGUUUAUUUUAUUUUUGAGGUUACUUGAAGUAAGAGGACGUUAUUAUGAGUUGUUAACUCAUUGUAUACCACCUGAUAUUAUUUUUAAAAGGAUAUUGAAUGAGCUGGUUGCUAACUGUGAUGGUACACUGAAAGCUGAAGUGACUCAAUUAGCAGCUCAGUAUCAAGCUCAGUCACAACUGGGUAGUAAAGCAAUCUUUCAUCUUGAGGCCUUCACAGCAAAAUUUAUGAGAAUAUAUAAACAAUUUUUAGAGGAAGGACUGGAGAGUAUGGGCUUUUGAUGUAAUGCAUGCCAUCAUAGACACUAGAGAUUUCUAACUCAAAUAUAUAUUCAUUAUUUUGUCACACUAUGUACCCAUUAUGGUAUUUAGCUUAGCCAUAGAUAGUCGAGU